rnacentral:rRNA from 1 species
AGAGUUUGAUCCUGGCUCAGAUUGAACGCUGGCGGCAGGCCUAACACAUGCAGUCGAGCGGAUGAGUGGAGCUUGCUCCAUGAUUCAGCGGCGGACGGGUGAGUAAUGCCUAGGAAUCUGCCUGGUAGUGGGGGACAACGUUUCGAAAGGAACGCUAAUACCGCAUACGUCCUACGGGAGAAAGCAGGGGACCUUCGGGCCUUGCGCUAUCAGAUGAGCCUAGGUCGGAUUAGCUAGUUGGUGAGGUAACGGCUCACCAAGGCGACGAUCCGUAACUGGUCUGAGAGGAUGAUCAGUCACACUGGAACUGAGACACGGUCCAGACUCCUACGGGAGGCAGCAGUGGGGAAUAUUGGACAAUGGGCGAAAGCCUGAUCCAGCCAUGCCGCGUGUGUGAAGAAGGUCUUCGGAUUGUAAAGCACUUUAAGUUGGGAGGAAGGGCAUUAACCUAAUACGUUAGUGUUUUGACGUUACCGACAGAAUAAGCACCGGCUAACUUCGUGCCAGCAGCCGCGGUAAUA